GACGAACGCUGGCGGCGUGCUUAACUCAUGCAAGUCGAACGGAAAGGCCCUGCUUUUGUGGGGUGCUCGAGUGGCGAACGGGUGAGUAACACGUGAGUAACCUGCCCUUGACUUUGGGAUAACUUCAGGAAACUGGGGCUAAUACCGGAUAGGAGCUCCUGCUGCAUGGUGGGGGUUGGAAAGUUUCGGCGGUUGGGGAUGGACUCGCGGCUUCUCAGCCUGUUGGUGGGGUAGUGGCUUACCAAGGCUUUGACGGGUAGCCGGCCUGAGAGGGUGACCGGCCACAUUGGGACUGAGAUACGGCCCAGACUCCUACGGGAGGCAGCAGUGGGGAAUAUUGCACAAUGGGCGGAAGCCUGAUGCAGCAACGCCGCGUGCGGGAUGACGGCCUUCGGGUUGUAAACCGCUUUCGCCUGUGACGAAGCGUGAGUGACGGUAAUGGGUAAAGAAGCACCGGCUAACUACGUG
rnacentral:rRNA from 1 species